AUGGGGCCAGGGGCCCUCUCCCAGGCUGUGCUGACGCAGCCGCCCUCCCUCUCUGCCUCUCCUGGACCAUCAGCCAGGCUUCCCUGCACCCUGAGCAGUGGCUCCAGUGUUGGCAGCUACCACAUAUCCUGGUACCAGCACAAGCCAGGGAGCCCUCCCCGGUACCUGCUGAGGUUCUACUCAGGCUCCAGUAAGGACCAGGACUCCGGGGUCCCCAGCUGCGUCUCUGUGGCCAAAGAUGCCUCGGCCUAUGCAGGGCUUCUGCUCAUCUCUGAGCUGAAGCCCGAGGAUGAGGCUCUCCUGUCUCAACUGGCAAAGCAGUGCUCUUCACAGUGA